GAGAGAGAGAGAGAGAGAGAGAGAGAGAGAUUUAUGUGAAGGCCUUGCACUAAAUAGAUAACAACCACGGUCGUAAAUCGAAGCGUUGAUCAGAGUCAAUGUCAUAAAGGCGAGAUUCAUGGAGUGAGAUUAAAUGGAGGCGCGCUGCUCCUUCUCCGCCCCCUUGGAAUGGACUGGAGCAGGUACAGACGGAAUGAAAUGGAAUGGGUUGAGAUGGAAGGAGAGAAGGCAGUAUCUGAAUGGAAUGGGACGAGUUGAAAUAGAAUGGGAAACGGGAAUGGUAAGGUGCUAGACAUGAUGGAAUGGAAUGAAAUGGAAUGGGUGGUGGGGUGGAGAUGGAACGGAAUAUGAAUGAAUUAGACUGAUGGGAUAUGCUGAUAUUAGAAAUGGAAGGAAUGGGUCUAGAUGAGAUGGGACAAAGUAGGAUUUAAAGGGAAGGAACGAGGUGCUGAAAGAAUUAAUGGAAUCAGUGAGACGGAAGGAAGAGAGGAAGAAAGAUGAGAGAAGAAAAAAAAAAGGAAGAGGAAGGGAAUGUGGAUGGGGAUGCUCGGUUCCUGACAGGUGUUGAGGGUAACGUCCAGUGUGUGUGUGUGUGUGUGUGUGUGUGUGUGUGUGUGUGUGUGUGUGUGUGUUACUUAAUCUCUUUACGUAACAUGCUGACAACUCUCUUUAAAAGGAGACAGCCAAGACAGGACCCCACACCUUGCUUUACAUCACGAAUUAAAAUAUAGAUGGGAUCCCCAGUGUCUCGGCCCAUUCCUCCUAAUCGCCAAUUACGACAAAUAGUGGGGCGGUGGCUGUAGUGUUUCUGCCACCAGCCUGUUACAUUUGAACAGGUCGAGACCCUACCACCACAGGGCAAGGUGAUUAAAUAUUCGAAUGUAAAAAUUUGUCCUGCAAGGUAAACAUAAUGCAAAUCGAGAAAUUCAGUAAUUUAUUUAAAUCAAAGCCAGAUAGGAAAAAAAAAAUCAACAGGCAUGAACGUUGGCACGGUAUCACUCCCCUGCGCUUGUCACUGAAGUGCAUUGCACCAAAUCAUUUCCAUAUCACAUUGGGAUGCAAACUGGAAUUCCGGGAAAUGUUAUUCGGAGUAUUGGUGUGGAAAUGAGACGUAACAUUUCUUUAUAAUGUCUGUUUGGAGAUAUUCAAACACGGAUAGUGGGGCGGAGCAGCUUUGAGUGAUGGCCCAUGGCGUGGUGCAGGGCAGGCAGGGAGCCCGGCAGUGGCCCGCCCUGCAGCCUUAGCCAGGUGGCGCCAUACAUGUCCGGGAAGUUAAUUAAUGCCUACCAGUACUUAAUGAAGUUCACCAUCCAAUAUCUAAUUAAAUCUUCUUCCCAUUGUCUAAUGAAAUUGUGUUCGCUUCCCAUCGCCUAAUUAAAUGUGUAUGAAAUUAAUUCGCUACAGUGUGUGUAGAAAAAUAAGUUCCGAUAGGCGGGCGGGGUGGCGUUCUCCUUGCUACACCUGUAAUGCACUGCACUGGUCACCGGCGUGCGGGGAAGACUAACCUAAUUUGCCUUAAGUUACGCACGCGGGUGUCCUCUCCUCCCUCGGCGCGGCCAUGACGAGGAAACUGUGCGGCGGGUUGUGCCAAGUGGCUUCCUGAUGGAGCAAGUUACGGACUGUCACUUUGCCUUAAAUCAAGAGUGACCUUAUUAACUACACGAGCUGUGAAAACUGUGUCCAUAGUGGGAGAAGAGGGAAACAGACGUGGCUGCGUGCCAUGUAUUUAACUAUAAAGUAAAUCUUGAAUCAAGAAAUACAAGUCAUUAUUAGAAAGAGUAUAACAUAACACGUUAUGUACCUUUAAACUGGAUUUGUGUAUACCAAGAAAUUAGUAUGAAAUGCUACCGUUGAUUCUUGCCGCGGGUACUGCCUUGUGUUUAGCUUUUUACAUGUUCCCUUUUCUUACGUCUCCUCUCUUCUCAUCUCCCUUCCUCACUCCCUCCCUCCCUCGUAAGACACAUUGUUAAUAAGCCAGCAACAAAGUGUCUCGCGCGUCUGCCCGGGGUGAUUAUAUCCUCUUAGCGGUAAGUGUGUGGAGGGAUAAGCACACACACACACACACACACACACACACACACACACACACCCACCCUGACAAGUAAGACACUUGCAAUCAAUACACUCCACACACAGCUUGAGGAAAGACACCCCCCUUCUCCUAACAUUCCCAUACAUAAAACAAAAUCGGUAAAAACUGAAAACAUGUACAAGACACAAGGGCGGUAGUUCUCGAAUGAUUAUUAACACACACACACACAGGGAAGCAGAUACCAAAUUAGCCUCGCCAGAACGCCAAACACUUGUAUCUGUGAUGAGUGGCGUGUGGAUCAAAAGUUCGAGUAACAACACUACAUCUUGUCACUUGAUUAAAACGUUCCAUUUUUUCACGUGGAGGCAUCAGAACUGUCUGGGAAGCCGUGACAAAAGAUGUAAUAUAUUCUCUUUAUUUAAACACGCGCUACAUUAUGCACUGUGGGGAUGGUGAUAUUUGUUUCUUAAGGUGAAGAAUGGAGAGCACCAUUUGAAAGGUUUGGUGUGUGAGUGAAGGGUCCUUGUCAUUAUAUUUAGCUCAUGUUUACGGUUCAUUAUUUUUCUUGCUGUGUGUAUUUAAUCCCUUUGGUACAGCGUAUACUUGGUUUGCCAGAAUUUGUGUACGGUAUUUAUUAGUUCUUUUCUUAGUAACUAGUUUUGUACAUAAUUACCCAGUUUGCUUAAUUAAGUAUUGUAAGUGAACUGUUUGCUUUUAUGGUUUCACGUGUGACGAUAUCGAGGGCGAACGAGUGGCCCAGGAAACAUGAAGAGGACCUGUGAGUGGCGUGGCACUAGCCUCCCAAACCCUGACUCAACAUGUCACUCUUCCCAUCCGACGUGCUGCAGGGUGGUUAUAUGCUGUUGCUCCUGCCGGUACUCGUGCACCUUCCGGUGCCGGUGCAGCAACAUUAGCUGUCCCGCACGAGGGUCCUCGUCAGGAGGGCGGUGGAAGCCAGGAGUGGGUGCGUGAGGUGUUAUGCUGGCAGUCUGCAGGUUGUGAUGCUAUGUGUGGCGUUACGUCAUAGCUUUUGUGACCUGCAGUUAACAAGGUCAGUGAGAUAACGGUCAUGGCGUAAUGUUGAAGGGGUGAGACCUGCGUGGUGGAGGACUGAUGCUGGCGGCGGCGGCGGCGGCGGCGGCGGUGGCAACGGGAGUGUGCGCGCUGUAGGCGUUGUCAUGACGACCGUCUUGGGGAGGGUGGCGGUCCGGGACACCCGUCAGUGUGCUUACCGCUGUGUUCGGGGUGUGAUCCACUCUGACGAGCCCGCCAUGAGAGUCCUCAAACCCCCACACUGCUAAGGUAAGAGCCCAUUGUGUGCUGUGCCCGGGGUAAGCAGAGUGGCCGGUGGCCGUGGGUCCGGCCAGGGUGCCAGGUGCCACAGUGGGUCCUCACGGUGGGCCGGAUCAAUACCUGGGCCCCGGCGUGUGUGUGCCUGUGUGCCCACCACCACCGCGCAACCGUGCGUGAGCGCCGACGACCGUCAGCCUACUCUCGCCUUCCCGCCACACUAUCUCCGCCUUCAUGGAGCGGCACCACCAGCUCCCUCCUGCUCUCCCUGCCGCCCUUCCCCCCUCGACCCUCUCCUUCCCUCCCGCGCCACGAACAAGUGUCAAGACCGUGACGUCAUUAGCGGCGUGACAUUUAAGUGGACGCGCGAUUAUUGCCUUCGUCAGGCCCAGCAGGAGGCUGCAGGCCCACCUCUCUCUCCAAGGCGAUGCAACUUCCUCCUCCUUGCCCUCCUCUACUCCCCACCCCUCCUUCAUCUCCGCCUCCGUUAAGGAACUCUUUCCCCAGUUACAGACUUCGUCACUUUCCUUCGGCGCUUCAAAACUUUGAUAUAAUUUGCAAAGUCGCUUGAUAUAAUUUGCAAAGUCGCUUGCACGUAGACGUACUUUAGGGUGCGGGGACACACACACACACACACACACACACACACACAC